AUUACCUUUUUCCCCAGCUUAUUUCCUUAGGUUUGUGCAGAUUAAAAGCUCCACCAAUUUUUAGAAACAAGCUUGUAAAUUCUUUGCUAUAGAACUAGAUGAAAGUGGUAUACAUCCUUUAGCACUAAGUGGUUUCUUGCAUAUUUAAGCUUAACCAUUAUUUGAUCAAAGCUACAAAGCCUCUCAAACUUAUUUUCUUCUGUUUCAGAAGCUGAAGUUGUUCAUGUUAGAAUUUACAAAAAAAAACUGGGACAUUUGUUGUGUAAACUUGGACACUCAACCUCUCCAGACCGCCAAUAUCCCAUGUGUAAAAUGAGGGGCAAUGAUUAAUCUUCAGAUCUACAGAAGCAAAGGGUCCAGAGUAAAUUCCAUCCAUGUGACUGGGCCAAACUCCAAGGAAGAUGAGAAUGUCACUGUUUUCUACUUCAUCUUAGUCUCCUGGAAGCUAUCAGGAGAGAGACAAAUAUCUUGCUCCUAGGCUAUUCUUGGAGCUGAGUCACCCUCAAUGCCAAAAAGAAAUGUCAUGACCAAGGAAGAAGCUCUCACCUUCAAAAUCAGCACUGAAGAAAUCCUGAAAACUA